UACGUAGGGGGCAAGCGUUGUCCGGAAUCAUUGGGCGUAAAGCGCGUGUAGGCGGCUCGGUAAGUCCGCUCUGAAAGUCCAGGGCUCAACCCUGGGAUGCGGGUGGAUACUGCCGAGCUCGAGUCCGGAAGAGGCGAGUGGAAUUCCGGGUGUAGCGGUGGAAUGCGUAGAGAUCCGGAAGAACACCGGUGGCGAAGGCGGCCUGCUGGGCAGUGGCUGACACUGAGGCGCGACAGCGUGGGGAGCAAACAGG
rnacentral:rRNA from 1 species